CAGCAGCCGCGGUAAUACGUAGGGUGCGAGCGUUAAUCGGAAUUACUGGGCGUAAAGUGUGCGCAGGCGGUUGUGUAAGACAGGUGUGAAAUCCCCGGGUUUAACCUGGGAACUGCGCUUGUGACUGCACAGCUAGAGUAUGGCAGAGGGGGGUGGAAUUCCACGUGUAGCAGUGAAAUGCGUAGAGAUGUGGAGGAACACCGAUGGCGAAGGCAGCCCCCUGGGCCAAUACUGACGCUCAUGCACGAAAGCGUGGGGAGCAAACAGGAUUAGAUACCCGUGUAGUCCCUGUCUCUUAUAA
rnacentral:rRNA from 1 species